rnacentral:rRNA from 1 species
UACGUAGGGGGCAAGCGUUGUCCGGAAUCAUUGGGCGUAAAGCGCGUGUAGGCGGUCCGGUAAGUCCGCUGUGAAAGUCGGGGGCUCAACCCUCGGAUGCCGGUGGAUACUGUCGGACUAGAGUCCGGAAGAGGCAAGUGGAAUUCCCGGUGUAGCGGUGAAAUGCGCAGAUAUCGGGAGGAACACCAAAUGGCGAAGGCAGCUUGCUGGACGGUACUGAACGCUGAGGCGCGAAAGCGUGGGGAGCAAACAGG